UGUAACAAGUGUCACCUGGCAGUUUGUUGCUCUCUGCCAGGUGAUUGGCUGAAGAGCUGUGAAAAGGUAGUGGGUGUAUGGGGUGAAGUCAGCGCUCUUCUGUGGAAAAAACCAGAGGCAAUUAAUUCACUCAGGUGCGAGUGGGUAUACUGUCGGUAAGAGACUUUUGCCAUUUUUGUUUGGAUCUUUUGCAUGUGCCUAUUUUUAAUGUGUCAUUGGACUUUUUUAGUGUGACCACGAAUUUUAAUAGAAGAAUUGAUCAAGCCCUAGAUCGACUGCGCGCAGGGAAACUGAUCAAUAUUCUGUGCUGUCUCUGCUGUCCUUUUUUUUUUUUUUGUUCUUUUGAUUGAUUUGUAAUUUUGUUUUGGUUAGUCCGUCCAGCCGUAGAGGCGGUUAUUGAUUGAGAAUCACAGGCCAUACAUAGCACUGAUUCCCAGCUGCGCUGAGACCCGAAUUGUUUGCAGUGUGUGCCACGAUUGCAGUGUCGCUAAGCGGGGUGUGACGGGUUGCAGUAUUAUUUCGCACAGUUUGUGUGGUAAGUCUCAUGUGCAGCUGGGAUAUCAGCAGGAUGUGUUGUAAGUCCUGUCUGGAAACGACUGGGAAUUUGUAUGUUUAACUUAUGUAAUAAAUAAAUGAUCAAUUAUUUCUUUGCCCCGUUUACUCAUCCCUUGUCCUCGGUUACA
ensembl:lncRNA